rnacentral:rRNA from 1 species
AUGAACGCUGGCGGCGUGCCUAAUACAUGCAAGUCGAGCGAACGGACGAGAAGCUUGCUUUUCUGAUGUUAGCGGCGGACGGGUGAGUAACACGUGGAUAACCUACCUAUAAGACUGGGAUAACUUCGGGAAACCGGAGCUAAUACCGGAUAAUAUUUUGAACCGCAUGGUUCAAAAGUGAAAGACGGUCUUGCUGUCACCUAUAGAUGGAUCCGCGCUGCAUUAGCUAGUUGGUAAGGUAACGGCUUACCAAGGCAACGAUGCAUAGCCGACCUGAGAGGGUGAUCGGCCACACUGGAACUGAGACACGGUCCAGACUCCUACGGGAGGCAGCAGUAGGGAAUCUUCCGCAAUGGGCGAAAGCCUGACGGAGCAACGCCGCGUGAGUGAUGAAGGUCUUCGGAUCGUAAAACUCUGUUAUUAGGGAAGAACAUAUGUGUAAGUAACUGUGCACAUCUUGACGGUACCUAAUCAGAAAGCCACGGCUAACUACGUG